AUGUUGCUCAUCCUUCUGAAGGUGCUUGUGGCAUCCAUGUGUCUAGGAUACAGUAUUGCCCAGACAGUGACUCAAGACCAGCCAGAAAUGCUUAUGCAGAAGGGAAAUGUGACUCUGCACUGCACAUAUGAUACCAGUUCUACAUCUUAUAGUUUGCUGUGGUACAAGCAGCCCAGCAGUGGGGAGAUGAUUUUGCUCAUUCGCCAGGACUCUUACAACCAGGCAAAUGUAACUGAAGGUCGCUACACAGUGGACUUCCAGAAGGCAAGCAAGUCCAUCAACCUUGUCAUUUCAGCUUCACAGCUGGAGGACUCAGCACUGUAUUUCUGUGCACUGAGAGACACACAGUGA